CAGUCGCCAGCUUGGCUCUAAUGAUUAUUCGCCAUUCUCUGGCCCUCCACGUGAUAAUCUGACUUACCAUUCUGAUUUGGGUCUGAUUGUGUCUGUCUGACUCUUUACAAUCCUUACGAGUCACUCUCUUCUUAUUUUGUGUGUGUACACUCCCAGAAACCACACGUUGUCUCUGAAUACAAUAUUCAUUCAUCCAUCAGCCUACAGUCAGGCCACGAGAAAUUUAAUUCAAGGGUUCCAUCAAGGGAACAU
rnacentral:lncRNA from 1 species